rnacentral:rRNA from 1 species
AUUGAACGCUGGCGGCAGGCUUAACACAUGCAAGUCGAGCGGAGAUGAGGUGCUUGCACCUUAUCUUAGCGGCGGACGGGUGAGUAAUGCUUAGGAAUCUGCCUAUCAGUGGGGGACAACAUUCCGAAAGGAAUGCUAAUACCGCAUACGCCCUACGGGGGAAAGCAGGGGAUCUUCGGACCUUGCGCUAAUAGAUGAGCCUAAGUCGGAUUAGCUAGUUGGGGGGGUAAAGGCCUACCAAGGCGACGAUCUGUAGCGGGUCUGAGAGGAUGAUCCGCCACACUGGGACUGAGGCACGGCCCAGACUCCUACGGGAGGCAGCAGUGGGGAAUAUUGGACAAUGGGCGGAAGCCUGAUCCAGCCAUGCCGCGUGUGUGAAGAAGGCCUUUUGGUUGUAAAGCACUUUAAGCGAGGAGGAGGCUACCUGGAUUAAUACUCUAGGAUAGUGGACGUUACUCGCAGAAUAAGCACCGGCUAACUCUGUGCCAGCCGCCGCGGUAACAC